UACGGUAGGGUGCGAGCGUUGUCCGGAAUUAUUGGGCGUAAAGAGCUCGUAGGCGGUCUGUCGCGUCUGCUGUGAAAACUCAGGGCUUAACCCUGAGCUUGCAGUGGGUACGGGCAGACUAGAGUGCGGUAGGGGAGACUGGAAUUCCUGGUGUAGCGGUGAAAUGCGCAGAUAUCAGGAGGAACACCGGUGGGCGAAGGCGGGGUCUCUGGGCCGUAACUGACGCUGGAGGAGCGAAAGCAUGGGGAGCGAACAGG
rnacentral:rRNA from 1 species